CAGUAGCCGCGGGAAUACGUAGGGUGCAAGCGUUAAUCGGAAUUACUGGGCGUAAAGCGUGCGCAGGCGGUUAUAUAAGACAGAUGUGAAAUCCCCGGGCUCAACCUGGGAACUGCAUUUGUGACUGUAUAGCUAGAGUACGGCAGAGGGGGAUGGAAUUCCGCGUGUAGCAGUGAAAUGCGUAGAUAUGCGGAGGAACACCGAUGGCGAAGGCAAUCCCCUGGGCCUGUACUGACGCUCAUGCACGAAAGCGUGGGGAGCAAACAGGAUUAGAGACCCGUGUAGUCCCUGUCUCUUAUAU
rnacentral:rRNA from 1 species